GAUGAACGCUGGCGGCGUGCCUAAUACAUGCAAGUCGAGCGAACGGACGAGAAGCUUGCUUCUCUGAUGUUAGCGGCGGACGGGUGAGUAACACGUGGAUAACCUACCUAUAAGACUGGGAUAACUUCGGGAAACCGGAGCUAAUACCGGAUAAUAUUUUGAACCGCAUGGUUCAAAAGUGAAAGACGGUCUUGCUGUCACUUAUAGAUGGAUCCGCGCUGCAUUAGCUAGUUGGUAAGGUAACGGCUUACCAAGGCAACGAUGCAUAGCCGACCUGAGAGGGUGAUCGGCCACACUGGAACUGAGACACGGUCCAGACUCCUACGGGAGGCAGCAGUAGGGAAUCUUCCGCAAUGGGCGAAAGCCUGACGGAGCAACGCCGCGUGAGUGAUGAAGGUCUUCGGAUCGUAAAACUCUGUUAUUAGGGAAGAACAUAUGUGUAAGUAACUGUGCACAUCUUGACGGUACCUAAUCAGAAAGCCACGGCUAACUACGUGCCAGCAGCCGCGGUAAUACGUAGGUGGCAAGCGUUAUCCGGAAUUAUUGGGCGUAAAGCGCGCGUAGGCGGUUUUUUAAGUCUGAUGUGAAAGCCCACGGCUCAACCGUGGAGGGUCAUUGGAAACUGGAAAACUUGAGUGCAGAAGAGGAAAGUGGAAUUCCAUGUGUAGCGGUGAAAUGCGCAGAGAUAUGGAGGAACACCAGUGGCGAAGGCGACUUUCUGGUCUGUAACUGACGCUGAUGUGCGAAAGCGUGGGGAUCAAACAGGAUUAGAUACCCUGGUAGUCCACGCCGUAAACGAUGAGUGCUAAGUGUUAGGGGGUUUCCGCCCCUUAGUGCUGCAGCUAACGCAUUAAGCACUCCGCCUGGGGAGUACGACCGCAAGGUUGAAACUCAAAGGAAUUGACGGGGACCCGCACAAGCGGUGGAGCAUGUGGUUUAAUUCGAAGCAACGCGAAGAACCUUACCAAAUCUUGACAUCCUUUGACAACUCUAGAGAUAGAGCCUUCCCCUUCGGGGGACAAAGUGACAGGUGGUGCAUGGUUGUCGUCAGCUCGUGUCGUGAGAUGUUGGGUUAAGUCCCGCAACGAGCGCAACCCUUAAGCUUAGUUGCCAUCAUUAAGUUGGGCACUCUAAGUUGACUGCCGGUGACAAACCGGAGGAAGGUGGGGAUGACGUCAAAUCAUCAUGCCCCUUAUGAUUUGGGCUACACACGUGCUACAAUGGACAAUACAGAGGGCAGCGAAACCGCGAGGUCAAGCAAAUCCCAUAAAGUUGUUCUCAGUUCGGAUUGUAGUCUGCAACUCGGCUACAUGAAGCUGGAAUCGCUAGUAAUCGUAGAUCAGCAUGCUACGGUGAAUACGUUCCCGGGUCU
rnacentral:rRNA from 1 species